CACGUAGGGGGCAAGCGUUGUCCGGAUUUAUUGGGCGUAAAGAGCUCGUAGGCGGUUGUUGCGUCGGCUGUGAAAUCCCGAGGCUCAACCUCGGGUCUGCAGUCGAUACGAGCAAACUAGAGUGUUGCAGGGGAGACUGGAAUUCCUGGUGUAGCGGUGAAAUGCGCAGAUAUCAGGAGGAACACCGGUGGCGAAGGCGGGUCUCUGGGCAACAACUGACGCUGAGGAGCGAAAGCGUGGGGAGCGAACAGG
rnacentral:rRNA from 1 species